CCUACGGGAGGCAGCAGUGAGGAAUAUUGGUCAAUGGCCGGAAGGCUGAACCAGCCAUGCCGCGUGAAGGGCAGGGUCCUACGGGCGUUAAACUUCUUUUGUGCGGGAGCAAUAAUGGUCACGUGUGGCCAGACGAGAGUACCGUACGAAUAAGCAUCGGCUAACUCCGUGCCAGCAGCCGCGGUAAUACGGGGGAUGCAAGCGUUAUCCGGAUUUAUUGGGUGUAAAGGGUGCGUAGGCUGUGAGGUAAGUCAGCGGGGAAAUGCCCCCGCUCAACGGGGUGAAGUGCCAUUGAUACUGCCUUGCUGGAAUGCGGAUGCCGUGGGAGGAAUGUGUGGUGUAGCGGUGAAAUGCAUAGAUAUCACACAGAACACCGAUUGCGAAGGCAUCUCACGAAUCCGCGAUUGACGCUGAUGCACGAAAGCGUGGGUAUCAAACAGGAUUAGAUACCCCAGUAGUC
rnacentral:rRNA from 1 species